CUUGCGGCCACAUCACAUUGAAAUACCAGUUCCUUUAUGAUCACUGAAGUUAAACCAUGUCAAGCCUGGUCAGUACCUAGAUGGAUCACCACUUGGGAAUAUCAGGUGCUGUAAG